CGCGAGGAAAGCUCUACGGGGGCCCAGCGCAGCCCGCUCGUGCACCACGAUCACGGGUUUGGCGGUGUGGGGAAGCAAAAAGGCCGUCGACACCAUGAUCUCUAGCUGCGCCCACA
rnacentral:ribozyme from 1 species